UGCCUUAAUAGCUCAGCGGUAGAGCGGUCGACUGUUAAUCGAUUGGUCGUAGGUUCAAAUCCUACUUGAGGCGG
rnacentral:tRNA from 1 species